GACGAACGCUGGCGGCGUGCCUAACACAUGCAAGUCGAGCGAGUGAAUCUCCUUCGGGAGUGAAGCUAGCGGCGGACGGGUGAGUAACACGUGGGCAACCUGCCUCAUAGAGGGGAAUAGCCUUCCGAAAGGAAGAUUAAUACCGCAUAAGAUUGUAGCUUCGCAUGAAGUAGCAAUUAAAGGAGCAAUCCGCUAUGAGAUGGGCCCGCGGCGCAUUAGCUAGUUGGUGAGGUAACGGCUCACCAAGGCGACGAUGCGUAGCCGACCUGAGAGGGUGAUCGGCCACAUUGGGACUGAGACACGGCCCAGACUCCUACGGGAGGCAGCAGUGGAGAAUAUUGCACAAUGGGGGAAACCCUGAUGCAGCAACGCCGCGUGAGUGAUGACGGCCUUCGGGUUGUAAAGCUCUGUUAUCAGGGACGAUAAUGACGGUACCUGAGGAGGAAGCCACGGCUAACUACGUGCCAGCCGCCGCCGUAACAC
rnacentral:rRNA from 1 species